CCUACGGGGGACAGCAGUGAGGAAUAUUGGUCAAUGGGCGCGAGCCUGAACCAGCCAAGUAGCGUGAAGGAUGACUGCCCUACGGGUUGUAAACUUCUUUUAUAAAGGAAUAAAGUGAGGCACGUGUGCCUUUUUGUAUGUACUUUAUGCAUAAGGAUCGGCUAACUCCGUGCCAGCAGCCGCGGUAAUACGGAGGAUCCGAGCGUUAUCCGGAUUUAUUGGGUUUAAAGGGAGCGUAGAUGGGUUGUUAAGUCAGUUGUGAAAGUUUGCGGGUCAACCGUAAAAUUGCAAUUGAUACUGGCGGUCUUGAGUACAGGUGAGGUAGGCGGAAUGCGUGGUGUAGCGGUGAAAUGCUUAGAUAUCACGAAGAACUCCGAUUGCGAAGGCAGCUUACUAAACUGCCACUGACAUUGAUGCUCGAAAGUGUGGGUAUCAAACAGGAUUAGAUACCCGAGUAGUC
rnacentral:rRNA from 1 species